GAUGAACGCUGGCGGCGUGCCUAAUACAUGCAAGUCGAGCGAACAGACGAGGAGCUUGCUCCUCUGACGUUAGCGGCGGACUGGUGAGUAACACGUGGAUAACCUACCUAUAAGACUGGGAUAACUUCGGUAAACCGGAGCUAAUACCGGAUAAUAUAUUCAACCGCAUGGUUCAAUAGUGAAAGACGGUUUUGCUGUCACUUAUAGAUGGAUCCGCGCCGCAUUAGCUAGUUGGUAAGGUAACGGCUUACCAAGGCAACGAUGCGUAGCCGACCUGAGAGGGUGAUCGGCCACACUGGAACGGAGACACGGUCCAGACUCCUACGGGAGGCAGCAGUAGGGAAUCUUCCGCAAUGGGCGAAAGCCUGACGGAGCAACGCCGCGUGAGUGAUGAAGGUCUUCGGAUCGUAAAACUCUGUUAUUAGGGAAGAACAAAUGUGUAAGUAACUAUGCACGUCUUGACGGUACCUAAUCAGAAAGCCACGGCUAACUACGUG
rnacentral:rRNA from 1 species